rnacentral:rRNA from 1 species
GUCUUCCUACGGGACGCAGCAGUCGAGAAUCAUUCACAAUGGGGGAAACCCUGAUGGUGCGACGCCGCGUGGGGGAAUGAAGGUCUUCGGAUUGUAAACCCCUGUCAUGUGGGAGCAAAUUAAAAAGAUAGUACCACAAGAGGAAGAGACGGCUAACUCUGUGCCAGUAGCCGCGGUAAUACAGAGGUCUCAAGCGUUGUUCGGAAUCACCGGGCGUAAAGCGUGCGUAGGCUGUUUCGUAAGUCGUGUGUGAAAGGCGCGGGCUCAACCCGCGGACGGCACAUGAUACUGCGAGACU